rnacentral:rRNA from 1 species
GAACGCUGGCGGCGUGCUUAACACAUGCAAGUCGAGCGGAAAGGCCCUUCGGGGUACUCGAGCGGCGAACGGGUGAGUAACACGUGAGCAACCUGCCCUAGGCUUUGGGAUAACCCCGGGAAACCGGGGCUAAUACCGAAUAGGACCUGGCCUCGCAUGAGGCUGGGUGGAAAGUUUUUCGGCCUGGGAUGGGCUCGCGGCCUAUCAGCUUGUUGGUGGGGUGAUGGCCUACCAAGGCGACGACGGGUAGCCGGCCUGAGAGGGCGACCGGCCACACUGGGACUGAGACACGGCCCAGACUCCUACGGGAGGCAGCAGUGGGGAAUAUUGCACAAUGGGCGGAAGCCUGAUGCAGCGACGCCGCGUGAGGGAUGACGGCCUUCGGGUUGUAAACCUCUUUCAGCAGGGACGAAGCGUAAGUGACGGUACCUGCAGAAGAAGCGCCGGCCAACUACGUGCCAGCAGCCGCGGUAAGACGUAGGGCGCGAGCGUUGUCCGGAUUUAUUGGGCGUAAAGAGCUCGUAGGCGGC